GAUGAACGCUGACAGAAUGCUUAACACAUGCAAGUCUUUGGCGAAUCUGUGCUUGCACAGGCUAGCCAAGGCGGACGGGUGAGUAACGCGUAAAGAACUUGCCCUGCAGACAGGGAUAACAGACGGAAACGACUGAUAACACCUGAUACAGUUGCCGGCACGCAUGUGCCUGGCAAUGAAAAGAGAUGCUGCAGGAGAGCUUUGCGUCCUAUUAGCUUGUUGGUGAGGUGACGGCUCACCAAGGCGAUGAUAGGUAGCCGGCCUGAGAGGGUGAACGGCCACAAGGGGACUGAGAUACGGCCCUUACUCCUACGGGAGGCAGCAGUGGGGAAUAUUGGACAAUGGGGGCAACCCUGAUCCAGCAAUUCUGUGUGCACGAAGAAGGUUUUCGGAUUGUAAAGUGCUUUCAGCAGGGAAGAAGAAAGUGACGGUACCUGCAGAAGAAGCGACGGCUAAAUACG
rnacentral:rRNA from 1 species